AGCUAUGUCGAGACUGGGGGCUAAGACCUAUAGCCGGAAGCCUGAAUGCAGGACAAGUGUUCAGUUUGAUCAUUUGUUGUCAGAAAAAGGAAAUAAGCCAUCCACAGCAAAGGUUUCCGUUGCUGGAAUUCACAGAUGGGGAAUGACAUCUUUUACUUCUAUUCGAAAGGCUCGCAUUAAUGGGCAGAAAGAGGUUAAUGAAAGUCUUGAACCAGUGAAACGGAUUAAAAUUGAUCCCAAACCUACAAUUUCUUGUAGAGAAGAUCCUUUUAGUUUUGAAACUGAUAUUGAAAUUCCCGCUUCUAAGGUUUUACAUUCCUCCAGUUCUGUGCAUUGCAGUAGUACAGAUGCAGAAAUAAAGCCGGUGCCACCAAAACCUAAUAAAUUUUUUAAAAGUGGAAGUUCACGGCUUCUUUCAACAGCGUCAAACUCUCCAAAGAACAGUGAUUUUGAUGCUCUGAGACUGUCAACUCCUUCACAUUUUAAUGCAAUGAAGGGCAAUAAAGAUUCUCAUGAAAUUUUUUUAAAUAUGCAUGCAAACUUUAAAAAUGAGUCGUCCCAUUCUUCUGAAGAACAGCAUUCAGUUUUUCUGACUAAUACUUCUCCUAAUAUUGUGGAUUUACGAUAUUGUACAACUUCACCAAAUGCAUGUGCUUCCAGUAUGUAUUCUAACAAACCUAGUGUGCAUUAUAUCAGUCCAUUUAUCCAGCCGAUAGUGUCAGCUGAUGCUUCAUCACGGGCAUUUGAUGCUCUGAGAACUUUGGACCUUUCUAAUAAACCAUCUAACAUUCAUGUGGUCCACCAGUUAGAUUCGUACAAGCCAACAGAUUAUGUUAUGAAAAAAGAAAAUAUUCUCAGCAUUGCUCAGACAGAAACCUCGUUGACAGGCAAUGACAGAAUGAACAUGAAUCACAAUCAAGUUAUUUCCCAUCCUUCAGAGAAAAAUUUGAUUUCAGUAGAAGAGCAUCUUAAUCUGACUGAUCAAUGCCUAUUCAGUGACUCUCAAAAAGAACUGGCUCUUUCAAAUAUUGUGAAUACACAGAUAUCCAGUGAAUGUGAUCCAAAACCACAAAGUGAUUUAGAAUCUGUCUCUCAGUCUCAAUCCAACUCUGCUACUUUUUCUCAAGAAAGUAAUAUUGUAUCUUCACAGUCUUCUGGAAAAUGUGAAGAUUCCAGUGCUGCUGGUAAACAGCAGUCACGUCCCAAAAAGAUAUUCAGUUCUUCUCUGAAGUUCAAAGCUGUGUAUAAUCAUCGACAUUGGCAUUCAAGCAAGAAAGAAACUAAAGGUUCUGAAACACCAAGUAUUUCUUUAGCUGAUGAAUUUGAAGAAGAAACAACUAAGGAAAACUUCAAUGAUGCUUUAGUAGAAGAAAUUGCUAACACCUCCUAUGGAGAGAGCAGGUCUUUCAAAUGUCCAAAGGAGUCUAAACAGUUUUAUACUGUUGUUAAAAAUGUCAAACAAGCGUACCAGUGUCAUGAGUCAGGCGAAACUCAAGAAUUCAACGAUGACAUUGAGUAUUUGUUGGAAUGUGUUCAAGAAUGCAAUGGCAUAGGGACCAGAUGUCUCAGCGUACUGAACCUUGCUGCCAAAUGUAUGGGACCUGCCUUUCGCAUACACCUACGUGCCCAUGGGACUAUGCCUAAAAUAUUUAGUGCCUUAAAAGAUGCUCCAUCUGAUCCUAAUUUGGCUUUGUGUACAGCAACUUUAAUGUUCGUUCUAAGCCAAGAUCGACUUACUAUGGACAUUGAAGCAAGUACUCUAUCAUUAAUGCUGCAGUUACUGGAGACAGACCCUGAAAUGUUAAAUCCUGAAAAAGAAAUUGAUUUAAUUCUAAAGGAUCCUGCUUUAUGUGCUAUGCAGGAUAAGCAUAGGGAGAAGGUGUAUCAAUUAUGUGAAGAAAUGCAGCAGAAAGGACAUGCCAAACAUUUGAAACUUGAUAAUAUAAAUACGGGUAUAUUAGCUAUGGAGACUUUAUUAAGUCUAACGUCAAGAAAAGCUGGCGAAUGGUUUAAAGAAGAAAUGCGCACACUUCAUGGAUUAGAUAGAAUUGCUGAUACAGUUACAUCUUGCGUUGCUUUACUGGUACCUGAAGAAAAUGAAAUUAUAUUUCAUCCUACAGAAGUGCAGUUAGACAGAAUUCGAAAGAUAGACAGAUGUUUAAGAGUUUUGGAAAAUGUAACACAUAUGAACUCUGAAAAUCAAGAAUAUGUGAUGAACUACAAGGGUUCAUCUUUAAUUGUAUCCUGUCUAAGUUUAAUGAAACUAUGCAAAUCCCACCUUCUCGAACAAAAACCUGUAGAUAUUGACAAAACAACAGAUGAAGUGACUGAGAAAUCUACUAAAAGUGAAUCUCCGAUUUUGUCUUGUCUUUUGAACUUGUUGAAAAUUCUUAGCAAUGUAACAUACAGAAUGCCAUUAGACGAUUCUCAGUUUUCUUCUGGAGAAAGCUUAAUAGAUCAUGUACUUAUUUGUAUUUUACAAGUACCCAGAGCUGUACCACUUGAAAAGCGAUUUGAUCUCCUUGUUUUAUCUUUGGGGCUUAUGAUCAAUUUGCUUGAGUAUUGUGAUGAAAACAGUGUUAAAUUUAUGGAAAUGUAUGCACUUGGUUCGUUUGAUACUGUCAAUGAUGGCUAUGAGAUGUUGGCAUCUGAGGCUCUUGUUGAGUUGAUGCUUUCAAGGCUGGAUGCUGCCAGAGUGUCAGAAGAACAGGCAGAUGAACUUCUAAGUACACAGGAAGAAAAACAUGCAGCAUCAAUUGAAAAGAAAGAUGUUGAAACUGCUGCAGAUGAUUUAGAGGAAACAUUAAUGAAAACUCUUCAGAAAGCUGGGAAACAUAUGGAGCAUAGCAUCAUUGCUGCAUACAUAGCUAUUUUACUUGGAUGUGUAGCACAGAAAAAUCCAGAAUUUAUUGAUGUACUAAAAGAUCAUGUACCUGAUGGGAAAUUUGAUGUGAUGGUAGAUGUUUUAAAAAAGUUUAAGAGCUUUGUCACAUUAACUGGUUCAGUUGGAAGUAGAGAACUGGUAUCCAUCCAAAGGGUGAUUCAUGUUCUGGAAUCCAGCUAACAACACAGAAAAUAAUUUUUAUGUCUUUAUCUCUGGUCACACCCCUGAAAGGACGUCACUCAUGUAGUAUUUCUAUGCUUUUUAUAAACUUUGAUCAGAUUUUAAACAUCAGGUCAUUACUUUGAAAUGAGCAUUAACUGAAUACCCACUCAUCUUUACCAACUUUUGCAUCAGCAAGGUUAUAGUAAUGUGCCCAUUUCUUCAGAGUGAAAGAAACUUAAUGAUAAAAUCACUAUUCUUCUUUUGGAACUUUGACCAAUAUUGUAGUUGCAGUUGAAGUCAUGUUGAGAGAAGCUUGUAUCAUACAAUCUGGCUCGAUCAAGACGACCUGUUUCAAGAGCAGUGUGACCUUAAGCCUUUGUGAAUAAAAUUCUCAUGAGAUUAGACUAAUGUAAAAAAAUCUGUUCUGUCCGUUCUCAUUGUACAUGAGCAUAUUUGUAUAGAAACCAGAUUAAUGUAAAAUAUGCUGGAGGAUAUUAUGUGCCAGCAUUCAUGUGAAGACUGUGCCUAAGCAAAACUUCAGUAACUGAAGUUGGAUUUAGUUUUGUUAAGAUUGUGAAUAACUUGAAGCUGUCCCUAUUUGUUAAUCACAAAGUAAUACCUGCUAGGGCAGAUAAUCUACCUGUCUAUAGGAACUGUUGCACUUUCAUAUAUAUUCCAUUUUUAAUGCUAUCAUUUUUUGAACUAUGCACAUCACCCUUUUAGUUUAAUUGACAAUUUUAUUUAAAGUACAAUGGCAUUUAAAUGCAAAGUUCAAAUGCCAAUCACUUUUCUCUCGUGUGUACGUGUAUAUGUAUGUGUUUUUGAUGAAAUAAAAGAAAGGGGUUUUCACUGCUGUAAUCCAAAGAUAUGCUUUCAUUCAUUUGUACAAAAUACUAUAUUCAUUUAUCUAUCAUGAAAUUUUAUAUUGUGUUAAAACUGUUGACUUGUGAUAUUCAGUUGUAGAAUUAUUAUGUAUUAUCCUAGAAUUAGUCUCAAGAAAAAUUUUACAUGCUUAGAGAUUCUUUGUAUCAUGUUUGAGUUAAAGUAUAUAUGAAUAAUCUGUGACUUGCUCACUGUCAGAAAAUUGUUAAAAUUGUUACAAAUCUAUCAAUUCAUAUUGAAGUUAUGAUCAGUUAAUAUCCUUAGUAAUUUUUACGUGCUUCCUUUCUAAUUAUUGAGGAAGCUCUAAAUUAUUUAAUUUAAUUUUUUGAUAUUUUGUUGUUUUAGUUCAACUAUCACCUUUCAAAUAGUGUUUUUAAUUAAAUGAUAGUAACCAUUUUAUAAUAUUUUUUCAUUGAUCUGUUGUCUUUUUAAAGAAUUUAAAAAAAGAAAUCUUUUUUACAAUUAAUUUCUUUUUUGAAAUUUUUUGAUAUGAUGUUGGAGUAAUGAAAUGUAAUAUUGAAGUAUCAUAUUUACUUGUAUAUUUUUCCUCCUAAAAAGUGCAAGGUUCUGAAAAUUUUUCAAAUAUUCACAUAAUUUCCCCCUUCUUCAAGGCAUUUAUGAAGCAAGAUUCCCUAGAUAUGAAAAGGAUUUGUCCAUGUAGUGGUUAUUUUUGUCUUAUUAAUAAAAGCAAACCCCACAAACUACCUGCAGAGGUCUUGCCAAACCUUCCCCUUUCAACUCGCUAACAUUGGUUACCUAUUAGAAAUCUGGAUAUGAAAGAGUUGAUUGAAAUUGUGUGAACUUAUUGGCCAUCAACUAUAUGAGGGUUUUUCUAAUACUUAAAAAGCCACUGCUGCUGUGGGAUAGUAUCUGCAGGCAUCUCAUGGAAUGUGUUAAAAAAAUAACAGAACAAACACAGUUCCUGUCAUCAUUCCAAGAGGAUUUGCUUCACUUCUGCAAACAAUAGAGAUUGGUGAAUAAACCAUUUAAAGACUGUCUCUAAAAGUUUUAUAACAAGUAAAUUUUGCAGGAUCACAUAAUUUUAUUAGAAUUGGAAAAAUCCAGAGACUUUUCAUUGAAAUCAUUUAAUUAUGGAUAUUGAGUGCUCUGAUUCAUGAAGCAGUACUAGUGAAGAGCUUUAAGAAAAUGGAGAUAUACAAUGCUAUCAAGGGGAUGAUUAUUUUAAAGAUCAUUGCAUAUGAGAAGAUCUGAAUGGGUUACUAAGAUGAUGAAAACGAUCAUAAUGAAGCUAUAGCAAAACAACACAGACAAUAGUUCUAAGAAUGAUAACUGAAUGAUUUGAGGCUAAAAGCAGCAGUGGACAACAAUAAAAGCGAGUAAGAUUCUAGAUACAGAGAACUGGAAUGAAGAUAGCUUAUUAGGUAGUGUAAUGUUGGUAUUAGUAUAUAUUCUUAUUGGAAUAUAGGUUUCUUUUUUGUGAAUAAUAAUGUGAUAGUUACCAGUAGUUUAUUUUUGAAUACUUUUAAUUUAUUAUGUUCUUGCAAUAACCCUGCCUAUCAGAAAAUAAAUUAUUCUCGAUUUUAAUACGAUAAAAUUACUAAAAAAGGGAGGAAAGGUAUGUGAGUAAAUACUGUAUAAAAUGGGGGUAAUAAACUGUAAUAUGGAAAAAUAUACUAUAUCCGGUUGCCAUCUGCAUAUCUGAACUGUAAUUGAAUGUUGCUGUCAUAUAUUUCCCUUAGUGAUCUGUUGGUAAAAAUCAAACAACGUUUGGUAUUUAUGACAAAAAUGAGAAAGUUCAGUACAUUUUAAGAGGAAGUAAUGUAGUCUCUGUUUUGUAGGAAUAAUUUCUUUUCUGUUGUCCUUGAAAAUGCCUUGAGCUUUCUAAUUAAAAAAUCAAGAUCAAAUAAUAUGUUCAGAUUGGACUGCUUCUUUUGCAGUUCACUAACUAAUAUUAUAAAUGUAAUUUAACCAGUUACAAAAUUUAAAAUACCUAAAUCAUAAAUUUGGAGUUAAUGUAAUAAAUAAGUAUGAAAUUUUAUUAUAUAUUUGCAGUACUGUUAAAAAUCAUGAUAGUAUAUUAAUUUUAACUAAGCAUCUUAUUGUAGUAUUUGCAAUUUUUUAGUAAAUUCUGUGUAUUUCAUUUUUUUUUUCUUUUAAUCAUACUUUCAUACUAUUUUUUAUUUAUUAUGUGUGCAUAUUUUGAUUUCCUAAUUUUUAUGUGUUGUACAGUGGUUUUUCAACUGGCAUUUAUGGAGCAUAGUUUUUUUAAACAUUUUAUACUAAUUAUAUAGCCUUCUAAUGCAUAUGAUAAAAAAUUUGCAAAAUUUCAUUUAUUUUUAUAUGUUUGUGCUUUAAAUAACUAAUUUUUUAACUUAAAUAAUCUGGAUUAUGAAUUUUAAAAUGUUUUAAUAAUGUAAGUAGAUAUUUUUAUAUGGUAUAACUGUAUAAAAUUGCAUUUGAAAUUAUUAAAAUGUAAUUAUUGCCUUCUUGUAUUAGUAGAUUUUGUAAAGCAUUUUGUACAUUCAUUCAGUUGUUAGUCAUUUUAAUCAUUAAUGGUUAACAAAUUGGAUACUUAUUGAUAUACAUAAUCACCUCCUCUGCAUAUGCAAUAUAAAAUGCCUUAUAUAUUUUAAAUAUUUAGUUCAUAAAUUACCUGUGUGCUCCUAAUGAGAAUGAGCCAUAAUAUUCAGAACUCAUUUUACAAAGCUGUAGGCUCUCCAAAACCUGUUACGAAAUUAACUUCUAAUUUUUUCACUGUAAUAGAUGUCACUGAUGAUUUUAUGUAAAAAUAUUUCAUAUAAAUUAUUUCAUGAAAUAACUUUAUAAUUCAGUGUUUUUUAUUGAAAGCUAAGAGGAAUUAAGUUAAUUUUCCAGUCUCCUAUGUAAUAAUGUAUUUCAUUUUACAUUACGUGCAACACAUCAUUUCUGAGGUUAGGUUAUUUGAAAGUCGUAAACGUAUAGCAGCUGUCUGCCUAAGGGAAGGGAUAUCUUUGUACAGCACUUUCUAAGUGAAACUGGCUCUCAUUCCUGUUACAUUUAGAGGAAAAAUACAACCAUGCAACCAACCCAUUUGCCUGAAAUCAUACUCCCAGUAUUCAGUGGUCAUAACCACUCUACUGGUGGGGGCCUCGUAACAUUGUUAAAUAGAGCAUCCCAAAUCCUCAGAUUACAGUAUUGAAUAGAAAUGAGCUGUUUAAUGGGAUCAUAUCUUGCUCGCUGAAAUAAAUUGGUUCACUUUGUUUUUGUGACUGACCAAUCACUAACAGUAACCUUGAUGAAAAUAAUCAAGAAUGGUUAGUGAGGAUAGAGUGAAGAGAAGAAAGAUCGAAUGAGCAAUGGGGUUGAGGCCAGUUAGUGAGGUUGGAAUGAAGAGCCAAAAGAAUAGAACAAGCUGCAAGAUUGGAAAUUUGACUCGAUCAAACACUGAUUUUCUUAACUGGUUUCUUAGAGCUGUAGUUUUGAGAUUCCUGAAAACUCCCUUUCUGCACAGAACUAAUAAUAAAAUUCUAGAAUAAAAAUUUUGAAAAAGUUGAAUAAACUCAUUUUUAACAUGGGAAAAUAAAUAUUCUUUUCUCUUCUAAAAUGGGAAACUGGUACACUUUCAAUUUAUUUAGUUCUUUUCAUUCACUUGCUCAGUAAAAUAAAUCAGUUCAUGAACUAACAGCAGAUCUCUAUUUCUAGCUUGCUUUUAACAAGAGCUGUCAAUAAGCUACAACUUUUUAUUUUCUGGAAUCGGGUCCAUAAUGGAAUCGUCCAACUCUAGACUGGAUCAUAAAUACAAAUACAUUUGUAUGAAUUACAAUAAUAUUUAAUUGCUUUUGAAGUGCUUUGAUUUGGAAGCAUAAUUUCUCUUUUCCACCCCUUGAAACUGUACCUGAUAAAACAAUUGCAUUUUUUCUUUGCCAUAUUAUAUCUUCAAAUUUAGUCUAAAAUAUUGAAUCUUUUAUUUGUCCAAGAGAGAACACUGUGUGCUAUAAUGUAUAAUGCAAUGUAUAGACACUUUAUUUAAUGUUGGGUAUAUCUUAUCACACAAUUUAUCAGUUAUAUUUUGUCACAUUUCUAUGUGUUAACAAAUAGUGUUUAGUGUUAUCAAUGACUCAUGCUGAGACCCAUGAUUUGAAGGGUUAAUACUACGUAUUCUGUUAUGCACUUAUUUUUAGUACCAUCCUUUAUGGUUAAGAUAUAAAAGCUUUAAUUUGCAGGGUCUUUUAUGUUUCUCUAUUCAAUUAAAUUUUUUUAUGUGUAACUAAAAUAUUAUGGAAAAGAAGUUUAAUUGUAGUUUAAGAAUAAUUUCUUGUUAUUAAUACACUACAGAAUUUUCACGAGAUUUCCUGAGGUAAUAUGUUGCUUGAAAAGCAUUUAUCCACUGUGUAAUCUCCGAUUUCUUACGUGUGUUUGUAGAGUCAUUAGGUUAAUUGGAAGCAGAAAAAAUGAAAAAUACGCUAAUGCCUUCGCCGGGAAUCGAACCACGGACCUCUGGAAUACCAGCCCAGCAUGCUACCAUUACACCACGAAGGCACGCGAGAGAAGUGGGAGAAAUACUUUAUAUACUCCCCUUUUUAAAGGGUGACUAAGGUUUUAGGGGUCCUAGUCGCGAAAUCCUGGAUGCGGAGAAUCAUCAUCCACAACCCUUUUUAGUUCGGGUGCCACUUGUAGAGUCAUUAGGUUAAUUGGAAGCAGAAUAGAUGAUAGAUAUGCAACUGCCUUCGCUGGGAAUCGAACCACGGACCUCUGCAAUACCGGCCCAGCGUGCUACCGUUACACCACGAAGGCACGCUAGGGAAGUGGGAGAAAUACCUUAUAUGUUCAUCUUAUGAUCUCAUUUUAGGUCUAACAUUUUUUUUUUUUCUUUUUUAACAUCAGUGUGACAUAAAUUAUUUCUUUAGUAUUUUUCUUUCGUAAUUAGAGUAAUAAAUAAUACUAAAAAUGUAUAAAAUUUUGAUACAAUUUAUUAAACAUUAAUAGCACUAAAUUUAAUGCUAAAAAAUGCAAUAUCAUUCAUAAACUUCGUGAAACACAGAACAUCUAGAGCACAAAUGGUGAGUAAUCUCAAAACGAGAUAUUUGUAUUUUACUUUUUCAAAGUUAGAGGAAGUUUUUUCUCUCAAACUGUAUUCUAUCAAUUCUUUUAGCAUUUAAUUAAAAAAAAAAAUUUCAUCCAUCCUUUAAAACAAACCAUUUAAAUUUAACAUUGUUGUGAUAUAUAAACAUUGAUGAAAAAUUUGCAUUUCCUGACAUUUUCAUAAGAAUGUUACCGAAGAAGAAAAAAAGUGUACUUAUAGAUGAGAAACUUGGAUAUCAUAUAAAGUUGGAAAGAGUAUGAAGCCAUGAACACGACUGACAAAAAUAUAAUGACGUUUCACAGUGAUAGUUUUGAAAUAAAUAUAGGGUGAUUCUUUAGUUACUAAACAAAAUGCUGUUAUUCAGUAAGUUAUGAAAUGUAUAUGUACAAAAUCCGUGUCAAAGGAAUGUGAGACAUUGGAAGAAGAUAAGGGAAAGCCAUGAUGUUAUUACAAAAAAAGACACUGUUGGAGCCAUCUCAUGCAUGCAUAUUCGCACUAAAAAAUGGAAAAAGAAUGCCAUAAAGUGUCAUGGUUGGCUGUGUCUAGAGAGUUGUGUUUAAUAUAUCCAGCAUCUUUAGUACUAAUGUGUUUCUCAUUACGUAAGAUACGUAUGUUUAAUAUUUAAUGAAUAAUUUCUUGGGUCUAGUACCAAAAAAAAUCACCCUAUAUAAUUCAUAACUACAUUUAUAGCUACUAAGUUUCCAUGUGUUUUAAAUGGCAUUAAAACUUUUUUUUUCCUUUUAGAAAUAAUUGGUUUACUGAUAAAUUUUAAUUAUAUCUUAAAUUUCAAUGUAUGUAUCAAAAAUCUAAUCUGAAUUUUUAUAUAUUGUUGCUUUUUUAUUCUGUGCCUGAAUAUAAGAUUAGAAAUCUGCAUUCCAAAGUUUUGGUGCUAAACUUUAUUAGUAAGUAAAACCAUGUAUUUGUUUACUGAAUUCAUUCAUCAAGAAAUCUGAAAUUAAUCCAAAAUGAUUAUAAAAGCUAAAGAUGCAUUAUUAAGUGAAUAUUUUUUUUAACCAAUGUUAACAUGAGGUGUAAACAGUUUAUUUGCAAAAUGAGAAUAUUACUAAGCAAUGAUGUAAAAUAGUUUUUUUGAUACAUGAAAGUUAUUGUGAAACAUACUGUAAAUGGCUUCAUGUAUGUUAUCUAUAUUUUUUCAAUAAAACAGCGAAACUCCAGUUAUUUAAUAAAUUUUAUUUCCUAUAUUUUUGUGAAUUAUAAAAGACAGUAAUUAAAAAAAUAAAUUCAGUCUGUUAAUUGUGGUAUGAAUACUGAGAUAAAAUGCAAUUUCAUAAGAAAAUAUAAAAUGCCAGUUGGUAAUUAAUGGAAUUCUUUGUGACUGCGCUUUUUUUAUAUGUGAUAUAGUGCAAAUAUAUUAUGAUAUGUAAUUCUUAGCAAAUAUUUAUUUAGUUUUCAUCACAUUUUUCUCAUUAUUAAAUUACAAAAGAUAAUUUAAUAUUGCUGAGACUUUAUAUGUGUGUUUAAUUUCUUUAUGUCCAUCACUUUUGUAAUAUGUUUUCCUGGAUAUUUUGUUUAAUGCAAAUUUAUGUAUUUCUUAUUUUCUAUUUAAGUGUGGAGAGAUAUGAAGUAUUAUAAUGGAUAAUGCAAAUUUGAAUGGUAGAAUAAUACAAAAUGAAUGUUCAUAAUUUAUGUACAAAAUGCAGAUUUUCCCCUUCCGAUUUGUGAAGGAUAUGAUUGAAUUUGAUUUUACUUUUGUUAGAGAUUGCUCAUUUUUGUCCAUGUUAUGACUGGACAAAUUUAUCCAGUCUGCAGAGUUAUUUAUCCAGCAUAGUGUGUAUAUAUUUAUUCAUUGGAUGAGUUUGAAUGUUGUAUAUUUGCAUGAAAAGUUAAUACAGCAUAUUAUGACCCCAUAAAAUGUGAAAAAAAAUGUGAUUUAUAGAAAGUUUUUAUUUUAAGAGUAUUGUUUUGAUAUGGUAAUGAAACAAGAAAAAUAUUGCUAACACUGUUUUUAUAAAUUGAAUGAAAAUUCAGUAUAACCAUUCUUUUACUUUUUUAGCAUUAUGCAGAUGUACCCUAGAUAUUUUAGUAUCCUUGCCAAUUUUUUUUAUUUUAUUCAAAAUUAGCAGUGUAUGAAAUUUUAAAUAAAGUUAAUAUUUAUAAAAAUAA
rnacentral:misc_RNA from 1 species